GUGGGGAAUAUUGCGCAAUGGGCGAAAGCCUGACGCAGCGACGCCGCGUGGGUGAUGAAGGCCUUCGGGUCGUAAAGCCCUGUCGGGAGGGAAGAAUGAUUCUGGGCCUAACACGUCCGGAAAUUGACGGUACCUCCUAAGGAAGCACCGGCUAACUCCGUGCCAGCAGCCGCGGUAAUACGGAGGGUGCUAGCGUUGUUCGGAAUCACUGGGCGUAAAGGGCGUGUAGGCGGUCGGCUAAGUCUGAUGUGAAAUCCCCUCGCUCAACGAGGGAACUGCGUCGGAUACUGGUCGACUCGAGUACCGGAGAGGAAGGUGGAAUUCCCGGUGUAGCGGUGAAAUGCGUAGAUAUCGGGAGGAACAUCGGUGGCGAAGGCGGCCUUCUGGACGGAUACUGACGCUGAUACGCGAAAGCGUGGGGAGCAAACAGGAUUAGAUACCCGGGUAGUCC
rnacentral:rRNA from 1 species